rnacentral:misc_RNA from 1 species
GAUAAACUGUCCAUUGGGGAAUGUUGUCUUACAUCAUCAAUUUAUUAUUAUUUUCCCAUUAUAUGCCUUGAAUAAUAAAAAUACUCCCGUAGCGCCUUGAGCGAAACAUGUGACUUUGGCGUGGCAGUCAAAGUGUUAACAUCAAGCGGUACUAUAGCACAGCACGAAUCUGUACAGAACCAUCGAACGGAGUGACGAAGAAGAAAACAAAGCGCUGUUGUUGCCGCGCGACAGACGUUCCAGGAUCAAGUGGAUUCGACAAGGUCGACGAAUUUACUUGAAAGCAGGAUAGAGCGGCUGACAACAAGAUCUGUCCCUAGUGAACUCACGUAGGUGACCAAUUUUCUCGCCGUGUCAUAGAAACUGUGGUCGUGGAAUCCCGCAAGAAGCCGCGGCUUUCCUGUGCAUCAGAGUACACCGAUGGAGCCAUACCC